CGCGACUUAUUCUCGUUUCCUUCGCGCGGGUUCGAGAGUUCGACUCCUCUUCUAUCGCCGCCCCCAAAUCUCGCCCCAUCCUGCGCCGCUGCACGACCUCUCCGCCACCGCCGCACCAGCCCUCACCACCGCCCCCGAUUCCUGACAAGUCCCCACGCCGCCGCAUGCCCUGUCCGCCGUUGCCGCCGCCCCCCAAUUCCUGACCUAAAGUCCCCACGCCGCCACUGCACACGCUAUUUUCCGCCGCCGGCAGCGCACCAGCCAUCUCUAUCACCCUCCAUAUCCUGAGUGCGGCUACCUUCACGAUGGGCUCAGAUCUAGGCACCACGGCCUCGCGAAUUUGCUCUGGAGGCUGCGGCGGUGCACAGAUGGAGAUGAAGGCGAAUGACCGUCGACGGGUAGCCGGAGCAGAAGCUGCAGCACGCAUGCACCUGGACCAUUGGGUACAUCUGGACCUCUGAGAAUCCAUGGACUGGUCCAUGAUCAAGUCCUGUUAAAUGCGGGGAAUGUCCUUGUUCAUAUGUGUUGUCAUCGGGUAUGUCGUAGAUGCCUCUCUCAUUCUCUACUAUCAUGUUGUGCAAAAUAACACAUGCAUACAUGAUAUCUGCAAGUUGUUCCCAUUCCCAUAGCCGUGCUGGGUGACGUACGAUGGCCCAACAUUUUUGCAAAACCCCGAAAGCUCGUUCCACAUCUUUUCUUGCUCCUUCUUGAUGAGCUGCAAACAAUUUAUGCUUAGCACUUAGAGGUCUGUUGAUUGUUUUGACAAAUGUGGCCCAGUCUGGAUAUAAACCGUCAGCUAGAUAGUAUCCCAUAUUGUAUUGUGUCCCAUUAAUACUGAACUGAAUGGCGGGUGCUCUGCCUUGUAGCUGUUCGGUGAACAAUGGUGACUGGUCCAAAACAUUAAUAUCAUUGUUUGAACCAGCUGCUCCAAAAAAAGCAUGCCAAAUCCAUAUGUCAUAAGAUGCUACCGCUUCUAGCAUUAUAGUAUGUACCUUAUAAUCACCACGUGUAAAUUGCCUCUUCCAUGCUACUGAGCAAUUCUACCACUCCCAAUGCAUGCAGUCAAGACAACCCAACAUCCCAGGGAAUCCAUGCCCAUGUGCUACUUGAAGUAAACGUUGAAUAUCUUCAUUAGUAGGCUUUCGUAGAUAUUGUUAGCCAAAUAUAACUCUUACACCCUUAGCAAAAUAAAUCAAACACUCUAGUGUUGUGCUUUCAGCGACCCCAAAUGUUUCAUCCAUAAGAUCAGCUGGUGAACCAUAUGCUAACAUUCUGAUGGCAGCUGUACAUUUUUGCAGUGGUGAUAGACCCACCUUUCCAAAUGCAUCUCGCCGUAGACAAAAAUAUGGAGACCAGACACCUAGAGCUUCAACUAUGUGCAAAAAUAGAUGCUUUCUCAUGCGAAAUCUCCUACGGAAUUGAUUAUCGGUGUACAAGGGAUUGGCAGAAUAGUAUUUAGCAAACAAUCUGUUGUGAUCAUCUUGAUGAUCUCUAUUGAUGUACCUCCGUGUGUAGCCCCCACGCCGAAUAGAGGUACCAGCUGAUUCUGCUUCCAAUUCAGCCCCCAGCUCAGCUUCAAGCUCUACCUCAAGCUCAGCUUCAAGCUGAGCCUCUGUAGACUCAUCUGAAUGACUAGAUUGAUCUUGAGAGUCACUGGACAUCUUCUUUUUUGGAAUGAGGGAGUGUGUGUUGUAUGAAUGAGGGAGUGGUGUCCUAGACUGCAUCUCAUAUUUAUAGCUGCUAAAUACCAAUAGCUAUCUAUUGCUUUAUCUCAACAGCUAUAUUUUGUUUGCCACCUUUCUCAACAGCUAUAUUUUGUUUGUCUUUUUCUCAACAACUGUACUUUGUUUGUCUUUUUCUCAACAGCUAUAUUUUGCUUUAUGCCCUGUUCCACAACAGUUAUAAUGUACUGAUAUUAUUUUACAACUGAUAUUAUUUUGCUUUAUGCCCUGUUCCACAACUGUCAUGGACCUUGACAUGGAUCAAAACUAAGGAUAAACAAAGGUGAUUUCUCUACUGUUCAAUAUGAUUAAUUUGGCUUACACAUACACUAACAACAUGGCCAUACAAUAUAGAGCAUCGACCUGUUACAAUAGCUAACUUAAGGGUUACAAAUAGACUUACAACACUUCUAAAUAUGAAAAUUACACUUUCAACACCUCUAAAUAUGACAAGCACAAUAGGUAAUGGUAGUACAAGCAUCACUUGCUGAUUAUUUACUCCCCAGCAAGUUCUUUUGCUAAUUGGUCCAGGACUCCUUCAUGCCUCUUGUGGUGUGCUUCACUGAAGUUUGAAGUAUCUUUCUCCAACAGUUUUAAAUGAAGAAGUGUAUGCUUCUGAUGAUGAAACCUUGGUCCUCUUAUUUCCACUAUCCUCUUGGACUAUUCUACACCAUUUAGGCAAAUCCUUGACCUCUCUCCACAUGUACUCCAAGGUGAAAGGGCAUGGAGAACUAGACUCGGAUCCAUGGGAAGAAGUAUUGGCUGCAGCACCAACUGCAGAGCUAAAUUGCAGCACAUAUGGUGGCCUGUUGGCUGCAGCUCCAAACUGCAUAGUUGGUAAGGAACCAAAACUCUCUUGUAAAUGAAAUCAUUGAUAGCUUGAUGGAGUAUGUGGCAGCCAGCUCCCUUGGUGUUGAACGCCUUGAAAUCUUGGAGGAGAGUGACCAAAGGGUGGCUGAUUUAUUGGAGGACCAAAAGGGUUGAAGUUUUGCAGAUAAUUUGGUGAUGCAAAGAGAAACUGAGAUUGGGGUGUAGGAGGUGAGAUAUGGUCACUACUCUCAGAGUAUUGGCUUGGGGAGUCUUGAUUUGUGAAACUUGAGAUGCUUCUAUGGGAGGGAUCCAUUGGAACUAGUUGUGUUCUAGCAAAUUGAUGAAUGGAGAUGGUGUAUGUUGCUUCAGUUUUUGUAGGCACAAUGUUCAGGGGUGUAUGUAUGCUGUUUCAGUUUUUGUAGGCACAAUUCAGGAAGCCAACGGCCAGAAGCCAACGGUUACAACUUGUUUUGUUUAAUAUUUUAUGAACAGUACCACUGUACAACUAUGUUUUUUUAUGGUCUUCUUGCCUAGCCAUAGUGCUAUGGGCAGCUUUUGCUAUUUCCCUCCUA